rnacentral:lncRNA from 1 species
AGCCACCUUCAGAGGGCAGGAGCAACUUGUGGACCCGCUUCGACAUGCCCUUGUCACUAAGCUUCGUGGGGAAUUUGGAGACCAGCACGUUUACCCAGGUCUUGUCCGGACUGGAAUCUGCGGGUGCUGGAGGAGCCACCGGCGUCGGAGAGUGUGCUGCUGGAGCUGGGGGAGAGCGUGCUGCUGGAGCCAGAGGAGCCACCGGGGCUGGUGCCGGGGCUGGAGGAACGGGCACUGCCAGCGCUGGGGCUGGAGGUGCGGGCGCGGCCAGCGCUGGGACUGGAGCUGGUGCUGGAGGUGCGGGCGCGGCCAGCGCUGGGNNNNNNNNNNCAUUUCAGAAUCUUGAAACCAUUGUUUACUGCUAAGAACAUGAACAAUAUGAUCCAGAGAAAGCUAAGCCGAACCCUCGAGAGACAGCAUAUACAUUUCAGAAUCUUGAAACCAUUUGUUUGCUGCUAAGAACAUGAACAAUAUGAUCCAGAGAAAGCUAAGCCGAACCCUCGAGAGACAGCAUAUACAUUUCAGAAUCUUGAAACCAUUUUUUGCUGCUAAGAACAUGAACAAUAUGAUCCAGAGAAAGCUAAGCCGAACCCUCGAGAGACAGCAUAUACAUUUCAGAAUCUUGAAAUGUAAACUAAUGUUGGUGCCAUUGCUCCCCCGAAGGAGGUAGAAAUCAAUAUCCGAAUGAUAAAGCAGAAGAUAGCAAGACAUAUUUCAUCUAUAUGGCAACUUGCUGUCGACGGAAUCCCGCACUUUCAUUACAACCACACUCAUCAAGAUAGAAGACAAGUUCAAGUUGGAAGGUAAAUUUUCAUCAAGCUACUGAUUAUAUUCAGAGUUUUCACUACAGAAAGACAAGGAAACUACAGAUUACAUUCAGGGUUGUUCACUUUGAAUAGCAAGGAAUAUUUCAUCUAUAUCGCAACUUCUUGUCAAGGGAAUCCUGCACUUUCAUUGUGAAGCAGAGACGACAGGUUUGAAUGUAAACCUACGAUUGAGUAAUCCAGAGCAAUGAGAUUAGGUGCACACUAAGGUUCCUUGUAGCUAAGCUGAUCCCUCGAGAGUGUUGAUGCUUAGCCAGCCAGUGCAGCUGAGCAGCCUUCUCUUGGCGGGGGGAGAGUCGAAGCCACCUUCAGAGGGCAGGAGCAACUUGUGGACCCGCUUCGACAUGCCCUUGUCACUAAGCUUCGUGGGGAAUUUGGAGACCAGCACGUUUACCCAGGUCUUGUCCGGACUGGAAUCUGCGGGUGCUGGAGGAGCCACCGGCGUCGGAGAGUGUGCUGCUGGAGCUGGGGGAGAGCGUGCUGCUGGAGCCAGAGGAGCCACCGGGGCUGGUGCCGGGGCUGGAGGAACGGGCACUGCCAGCGCUGGGGCUGGAGGUGCGGGCGCGGCCAGCGCUGGGACUGGAGCUGGUGCUGGAGGUGCGGGCGCGGCCAGCGCUGGGNNN